rnacentral:lncRNA from 1 species
AGGCCCCAGCUCCUCUGUUCUGCCCAGUGGCCUGGCGCAGGAAAGGUGACCCAGUAGUUCAGCCUGUCCCAGCUGCCUGCCCCAGCACCAUCCCAGACCCCUUUCCCUGGGGCCCACCUUGGCCCUGAGGAAGGCCAGAGCUCGGCUGCUGUUCUCCAGGAAGUGCACACGCAGGCGGCCCCGGCUCGGGGGUGGCAGGGCCUCCCCUGAGAUGAGCUCCAGCAGCCGCAGGAGGUGGAUGCCGUCAGCCAGCUCUGUGUACAGGUUCCGGAUCUUGAUGCCCGCCUGGGGAGGGGACAGGGUGCAGCUCUGCUCGUGCCUGUGAAGCCUCCCACAGCCUGGGAAGGAAAAUCCAGACUUGCCAGACCUUGCCUCAGCCAGGCCUUGGAAGCCUGCCAGCUUACCUAACCAGACCCUCAGCCCAUGGAGUCCUGUGUGAUGUUGUGAGCGUGGGAGGACAGACUGAACUGCUCGGCCCGUGGAGUCCUGUGUGAUGUUGUGAGCGGGGAGGACAGACUGAACUGCGUGGUGCUUCGCACAUAGACCUCAACAGGGAUUGGCAUUUUGAAGCUGUUGGCGGGGGCUGUGGACUGCUUUUCUUCCUUUCUAGCUCAACGGCAGCUAAAGCCACUGCAUACAAUGCAAGGACUGGCUCCUGUUUGGCCACGACUGAUUGCAGCCCCUGGUGAAAUGAGAACCCUGUGGGUCGGAACAAAGUUUGGAUUAUUUAUGUUGCAAGUAACUAAAAUCUCAAGUGAAACUGGUUUAAACAUUA